AUCCACAUGCAUGUAAACUAUGAUGUAUAUGAAAUUUUCAUUCUGAGAAAUUUGGAGAGAAUUUGAUGGAGUUUUAUUUUACGAACUUGAAGGAAAUGAAAAAGCUUAAAAAUUUAGAGUGAACAGAACAAAAUAAUCUCUAAAAGUGGAGCAAACUUGCAAAUUUUAGAAGAGAAAUUGAGCAAGAUGUUACUGGCAGAAUACAUAUAUACUUUUUGAAACUUUGUGUAGUUUUGAGCUGGGAUGUCCACCAAGAAUGGGAAUAUCAAUAAUUGGCUAUGCUGCUAUCAUUAGUUAUAGUUCAAUUUUUUUGCAUUGUUUGUUGCUUUCAAGUUUAUAUUCAUCCUUAAUCUUAAUUUUUUGGGUUUCAUAUUAGCUUUGAUUACUUGCUCUUCUCG
rnacentral:misc_RNA from 1 species